CAGGACAGAAGACCUGAACUACAGAGCCUCAGGGCAGAAAAGUAUCAGAUUCCCCCAUGGAUGAGUGGACAGCUGGUGGAAAGAGCUGUAUCUCCUUGUGACAUGUCAGGAUGGUCGCGACUGCUAUUCCCAGAUGGAACAGAGUUUUUACAAGGAUGGAGAUAUUGAGGUUGCUGCUUUUUUGCACAUUUACACAUAUGAUGUUCCCAGAAUUGAGAGAAGUUUCAGCAAAUAUCGCAGAUUCAGAUGGUUUCAGUCCAAAAACUACCAGUAUGUUCUGGCCUUGGUUUUCGCUAUUGAAGAGAUCAACAAAAACCCCUAUCUUUUACCCAACA